CUUUUCGCUGUUUCUCCUCCUUCUCUUUGCCUCAAAAAUCCUAAGAGACUCAUCUCUUAACAAACCCUAACAAACUCAUCUGUGUCUCGUUCUCUUCUCUCGUUGUUGUUUCUCGGACAACCAAUUUCACAAGCCGAACGAGAUAAGGUCCAAUCAAAAAAUAAAAAUCGAUCUUAAUUCUUCAUCCGUGAUUUGAGAAGAUAAACCCUAGAACCCAGUAAACGAAAUUAAUAUGCUCUCAUAACAAAUCUAUAUUCUAGUGAAUAACUUAUUUCAAUGGGUUGGGUAAUGAUGAGAAUGAUUUUGAUGUUACUGCUUCUUAGAUUUUUGCAGCGAAAAACAGGGAGCCUUGAUAGCAGAUUUGUUGUUAUGAUGAAAAUUGGGAAAUGCACCUUAGGACUUCCAGGAGCUCUUAAAUUAUUUCUCAGCAGAAGGUUAUCGUUGCAUGCUUGUUCCUUGUGUUCGGGGUAGUAAAACUGCAUGUACAGCUGAGGAGAGCAAGAAAGUCCAUGCAUCAGUAUUCAGGGAAUGGACUUUACCACAGAUAAGUUGAUAUCUCUUGUAAGAAAGUGGCAGACAUUGAUUGAAGACAACAGACAACUUCACCUUGAGGAUGUUCUGCAUUAGAUUCACCAUGAAGCGAGACAAACAGGUCAAGAGAACCUGUUAUGCUCAAUCUAGCCAGAUUCUACAAGUGAAGUUAUGUCUUUGGAUUUCAACAUUUUCUUAUUAUUUGAUGAUUGUAGCAUCUGUAUUGUUUUGUCAGAUUUGUCGCAAGAUGGUUGAAAUAAUGGUAAACCAGGCCUCUUCAUGUGAUCAUAAAUAAUUGGUGGCAAAAUUUAUCCUAGUGAUGAUCGGAAAGGAUAUUGAGAAGGCUACAUCAAGCAUUUACCCAUUGUAGAAUGUGUUUAUUAGGAAGGUCAUGAUCUUAAAGGCUCCUAUGUUUGAUAAAAUUAUGGAUGCAGGUGCUAUGUUAUGCGAUAGAGAAGAAGUACUUGGAGAUGUUGCAAGAGGCGACAUGAUUAAGUGGCCAAAAACUUAUGUAAAUCUUGUAGGAGAGCUACCAAAUUAGAGUGGCAAGAUUAGUAGUCAGAAAUUUAGUUUUAAUGUUUAGCGUGCAAUUUUAGGUUGAUACUUGAUAUAAUUUAUCUUUCAGUUUGUAGUCAGAGAUUCUAUGUUUUGUAUGUUAUUUUGAGUAUCAAUAUAAUGUUAAAUUUAUCCUUAA